AGCAACAAGCAGAGAAGCUGUGAUUAGAAUUGUUAUGCUUAUUAAACUGAGGAGAUAACGUAAAUUGAUUCUUUUCUCUAACUACUGCUAAUCAGGCACUACUUCUCUGGAGUUAUGGCAAUAGUUGAGGCUAAAUAAAACAAAGGGACAAUUGGGACUAACCUUAACAACCUUGGAGAUAGUAAAAUUCCUUUGAAGGUUGAAAAGACCAUUUUUGCCAUUGGAGAUGUUUACUAAUUAUAUUUACAAAUCCUUCAUCAAGACUUCUUUCUUAGGAAGCCCCCUUCAGAAGAGAAAUUCUCUAAGCAUUAAAAACUGUAUCACAGACACAUGAAUAUUAUGUGAGUAUUUCAAAGUAAAUUUGGAUAAAAUUCAUCAAAUUCAUGACACACAUGGAGUUCCCUGAAGCAUUAUUUCAUAUUUCCGGAUUUUCAAAGUGACUACAUAUU
rnacentral:lncRNA from 1 species